rnacentral:lncRNA from 1 species
UUUAGCGAGCAAACAUUGUUGUGUUACAAUCGUGGUUGGGUCAAACAAUACGUGGAAAGCAAAAAUAGCGAAGGUAAAGAGAUUAAAAUUAGAUUUAGUGUGUAUUUUUGAAAUAUUUUACGCCAAAUAUGGUAGUCGCCCCCGUCCAUGACACUUGUGACGUCAGUUACAUACGGGACUUUGGGGGCGGGUUUUGGCGGGAAAAUCUGUAAUGUUUGGAGAAGACAAGAUGGCGCUGGUUACCUCGUGUUACCCGCUUAUUUUACGUUUUAGCGACUCGUUAGUCUUGGAAAUUAUAACUUAAUGGACAGGGAAAACGAUUCUGUAUGAAAGAGAAAAGUAUGUGCAGUUAUUGUGAUGUUAUUUGUUGUGAAAGACGGCCCGAAAUUUCGCUACUUCGCUGUACUGGUUUAUAAAACAUUUACAAGCAACAGCAAAUGAACUAUGUGGCAAAGAAACCAAUGUGUACAAGCCAAUGAAGUUUUUCAGUUUAAAGGUCAGUUUACCUUUUAAUAAUUAGUUCAUUUAGUUGUAUAUUAAUACGAAGUACUGGAAUAGUACGCCGAGUUUGAUUUGCUAUAUUGAAAUUUGUACUGUAGUCGGAAUAUUUAAGAUAAGGUAUGGAUAAACAGAGCCCAACCCCUUCUCUAACCCUAACCAAUAAAUGUGUAAUGAACUAUUUGAGAGUUCAAAAGGUUGGGGGGAAAUUUUAAAAUAUUUUCUACUGUUGGAAACUGUCGUAAUUUAUGCAUCAGUCAAUUCUAGCGUUGCUCAUCCCCCCCCCCCGGGCAUUUGUACUCUUUUUUUGCCCGGGGGGGGCGGGCAUUGGUACUUGCAAAGUUGUCCCAGGGGCAGGGAAUUGUUUACUGGCUGGGCAUUUGACUCGACCGGACGUUUCUGUGACGAACACGUGCUAUCAAAUUAAAAUGGUGUCGAAGAAUUCGGGUGUAAAAACGAGGAUUUUGUCGAUAUUUUCAUUCACAAAACGUCACACCAAUCGCACUUGAGAAACUAAUUAAAGUUGUGUUUAACUAUCUAGCAUAAAAACACUAGAAUUCAUAGUACAAUCCUUGUUUUAUAUCUUGCUACGUGAUUGUAUAUUAACCACUGAACCGACGAGCAUGUUUUUCAUGUUCAAAAGUUAGGAUGACUGCUGUAGCUUUUAUACAAGGAAGCUAAUAAUGUUAUGGAAGUUUUGAGGUUUAAAAUACAUUCUCUAAAUGAGUCGGUGUGCCCUGGGGCCGGGCAUUUGUCAUCUUUUUUUUGCCCAGGGGUGGGGCAUUGCCACACUUUAUCUGCCCGACCCCCGGGAAUUGUCAACUUAAAGAGAAAAAAGUGCAAAUGCCCGGGGGGGGGGGAUGGGCAAUGCUAGAAUUGACUGAUGCAUUAGAAUUAGUAUUUUUGUUCACGUGUGGGACGCGCGAGUCCAAACUUUAAACACUUCGGAAAGUUCCGGAUUAUACCGGUGGUUGUUUUUUCGAGAAGAGAACUUAAAAACAUGUGGCUGUAAAACUGUGAAAUUGGUGAUUUUGUAAUAGAUAUUAUACUGUGAUUUGUUGUGAUUUAUUUUGGGCGAUACUUGGAGGCAAUCCCCAACACUGUUCCGGCCAGGGUGCAUUCCAUGUAAACUCUACGCCGGAGAUACGCCAACAUAUACGAUCCUUUACGCCAAUACAUCGGAGAUUUUCAGUUUUGGGGGCUUAAAUCCAUGUUUUGAAAACAUCUAAUGUGGUGAUUCAUGAAAUCAGGCACAAACUAAUCACUUGUUUUUGAGUGACUCGCGCCAUUACGCCAACAAUAUUGUAACCUCAUGCUGGAUAUACUAGAUCUGGUGUGGAGUGUAUGGAAUGCACACUGGUCUACGGGGCUGUUUAUAUGGAAACAGGGUUCGAAUUAAAGGGUAUGGGCAAUGAAAAUUGCUUCAUCUAUCUUAUUGCUUCAUCUGAAAGAGCAUGAAAAAAUAAGCCGAUUGGCCGUUUACUGCUCUAUUCUAUCUCAUCUGGUUCCGAAGUUAUACGCAAAAAUGUGCAAAAUAUAAAUAGCUGAUUCAGCACAAUGUGUGACGUCAUAAGCUGGGUAAGUAUGUUUAUUGAAUAGUAAAGUAGUAAACUAAAGCAUAGCUGAGUUAUUAUUGGCUCAAAUCAAAUGAAAUUUUGCAUACAGAUAGUACAUGAUGAGACGCAUGGGAAAAUACUUCUAAUUUUGUUGUCAAGGCAACACAGUCGUUCCCAGGCCCCUUACACUGAUUUUGAAUAACUAGUUGCAUUUCUCUAUGUGUAUGUCAUUUUCGAAUUAUUAUCAUGCAAGUAAACUUUCGGCAUGCAUAGGUAUCGUACACAUACUUCUGAUAUUAUUUUAUUUUUAUCAGUACCUUGAAUAAAGCUGUUUUAUAAAAUUGGCGCACGGGGCCUGGGAACGACAUUGUUACCUUGGCAACAAAAUUAGAAGUGUUUUUCUAUGCAUCUCAUGUACAAUCAGUAUCCAAAAUUUCAUUUGAUUUGGGCCCAUAAUAACUGAGCUAUGCUUCAGUGUAGUAUUCAAUAAACAUACUUACCCAGCUAAUGACGUCACACAUUGUGCUGAAUCAGCAAUUUAUAUUUUGCACAUUUUUGCGUAUAACUUCCGAACUAGAUGAGAUAGAAUAGAGCAUUAAACGGCCAAUCGGCUUAUUUUUUCAUGCUCUUUCAGACGAAGCAAUAAGAUAGAUGAAGCAAUUUUCAUUGCCCAUACCCUUUAAUAAACAACUUAAAUUUAAAUAUGAUUCUAAUAUACUUACUCCCAAUAAACCAUAACCCCACGUUGAUUGAAAUAUCUUUUUGUAAACAUCUAUAAUUGUUGAAGAUAAUCCAUACAGUUUUCUAUAAACUGAAAGUAGUCGCAUAGGGGCCGAUCGAACCCCAUUUUGAGGGAGAUGCAGCAGGGUGUGGAGGUGCAGGAUUGUUAUCACUAAAACCACUAAUUCUGUUUUGUAAUUGGCGCGGUUUAAUUAAAGAACACUCCCGUUAACAGAGCUUUCGCCACGUUUCAAUUUAUUUUUUACUGAAGGCUCUGGGACCUUAAAACUAGAGGGGAAUAGAGCGGUAUGUGUCAAAUUCUUCAGCGUUGUAUCUUUCCGUUGUAAUAAACAAUAUGAUAUUUAUUUUAGGGCGGGUGAAACGUAGGUCUGUUAUCAGGCUACUUAAAAGGCAUCGAACUAGACUGGUUUGAUAACCAACAACUUUUUCUGCUUCCGAUGCCAAAUUUUCCAAUUUUGAAACGCCGCUUGGUGAAUUUAAUUCCCUCGAUGCAAUGCAGGUGGUUUUAGCUCCGUUUUUUAAGUAUUUUAGUAAGCGUAUUCUAUGUACGUGCCGAAAAGAAGCUAGUUUUGUUGGCAUAAUUUUUUUGAAAAUUUCAGCGGCCAUGUUGUUCGAGCCAAAACAAGUUAGGUUACCCCCCCCCCGUUUACCGCCAUAUUGGGUGUGGCAUCGCCACACGCAGAGGCUUCGCGCCUUCAUAGCCAAUUAAAGCCUCUGCGGAGGAGAGAGGAAUCAUAGAAUCAUACAAGCAUAGAACCAUAGAAACAGAUCUAUAUGAUACUAUAUUUGGGUAUAGUUAAUUUAUGCUUGCAUAGUUAAAUUAAUUAUUAUAAUAUAUUUUGUGACUCGUAACAUGGGCUUAUAACCAGAAGUAAGGUUCAGUGGCUCAAACAGCUUCGGAUUUUCCCAAUGUUCACCCGAAGAGCAUGGUCUAUCAACUAUGAAAUUAAAUGGUACUUCAUUAAUACUGUAUUUUUGUUGAUUUUAAAAUGUUUAGCGAGCAAACAUUGUUGUGUUACAAUCGUGGUUGGGUCAAACAAUACGUGGAAAGCAAAA